AUCCCUUAGUAACGGCGAGUGAACAGGGAAAAGCCCAAAUUUGUAAUCUGGCACUUUUUACAAGUGUCCGAGUUGUAAUUUGUAGAGCUGUUAUCCGUACUGGACCAUGUACAAGUCUGUUGAAAAGCAGCAUCAUUGAAGGUGAAAAUCCUGUAGAUGAUAUGGACUACCAGUAUAUUUGUGAUACGGUUUCUAAGAGUCGAGUUGUUUGGGAAUGCAGCUCAAAGUGGGUGGUAAAUUCCAUCUAAGGCUAAAUAUAAGUGAGAGACCGAUAGCAAACAAGUACCGUGAGGGAAAGAUGAAAAGAACUUUGAAAAUAGAGUUAACAGUACGUGAAAUUGCUGAAAGGGAAACGUUUGAAGUUAGUUUUGUAUUCGUUGGAUCAGCUUCGCAAGGAGUGUAUUCUGAUGAUAAGCAAGUCAACAUCAGUCUAUGAGUGUUGGAUAAGGGUUUUGAGAAUGUAGCAAUUUAAUUGUGUUAUAGCUUGAGACUUGGAUACGAUGCUUUGGAUUGAGGAACGCGUAGUAAGCUUUGAGCGGAUUCGAAAGGAUCUCCUUACUAUGGAUGUUGGUGAAAUAACUUUAAGCGACCCGUCUUGAAA
rnacentral:rRNA from 1 species